rnacentral:tRNA from 1 species
AAGAAAUUAGUUAAAUUUAUAAUAAAGGCUUGUCAAGCCUUAGUUACUGUUGUCUUACAGUAUUUCUUU